UCUGAGGCUGGCUUUCCUGUUGACCCAGGAAGACCCAGAUCUGAGCAGGAGGCCUUAGAGUUGGGUAAUCCUAUCUGAGGAUCUCGCCUUUGCAGUCCACACUGGCUUUGAAGUCAUGUAGUUCAGGGUGUCCUCGAAUUCCUGACCUUUCUCAGAUUCCUAAAUCCUGGGAUGAUGGAUGUACACUACAAUGGUGGAGAUCUCCUCUGCUGUUCCCCUCGGCUUCUGAGCUAGGAUCUCAUGCAUCUUAGGCUGGCCUCCAGCUUAUUGUGGAGCCGAGUCUGACCUUGGACUUCUGACCCUCCAACCUCCAGUUUCUGGGAUUUGCAGGACUUUUCAUGACAAUGAGACACUCUGCUCCUGGCAGCAC